GCAGAACCGUGCUGAAGUUUUUUGUAGGGAAAACAAACACUUGCUGGCAGUAUCCAGGUUUUCUAACCAGAAUUGUGAAUUUUUUUCUCCAGUUUGGUGAUGGAGAGUAUAGAUAACAGUCAGAAGAAAAGCGAUUUAUGAAACAGUGAGCAGAACGCUAUUCUGGAGAAUGAGAUGUCUGAUUUUUGUUCCAAGCUCUGCCAGAGUGACCUUGCACUGCCACUUCCUCUGUAUUUCAGCAUCCACAACUAUAAAAAAUAUCUCGAGAAACCAUUUCUAGUUGCUUUCAAUUUGUUUUGGAUUGAACUCGUGAUCUUAAUGAUGAAGGACGCUACAACCCAUUAGCAGUCAUCUGAGCCGUCCAGAUCUCUUGAGAGCCUCUUUCAAGCCCGAUCUGAUCCAUCAGAACAACUAUAACUGAGCAUACUCACUCUUGGCUGCGUGAUUUUCCAAACGAUGCUGCUCAUAUACUUCAGAAAAUUUAUGGUUUUAUUGCCUUUAUUUUUCCAGUAUAUUUUUUUUCUUCUUUUAUUCAGUUUAAGGUAUAGUUUGAAAAUGUUUCUGUACUUGUCAUCUCCUCCAGUAUAUCCUGUUAUGGCCAUUAUUGCUGCUGUUACUGGUAUCUGAUUUAUAAUUCUGGACACUGCAGCUGAUAUACAUGUUGGCAUUGUGUCCAAAAAUGGUGAAAGUAAAGCAGUUUGUAAGGCAAUUCAAGAAAAGAGUGGAUGUAAAAGGAGAAAGAGCGCUACAGUGCUAGUCCUCGUGGUCUCACUACUGAAUACAGGGUAGAAAAUGAAGAGUUCUGAGACAUCUGUGUGCACUGCAUACUACUUUGUCUUCUUCUAUUCUAUUUACUUCCAUCUUCUCUGCUUCUUUGACUAGACUGACAACCAUGCCUUCACUGUGCAAUCCCACAACUGUGCCUUUGCUGUAAAACUAUUCCUCUGAAGACGCUGCCAUCUGGAACAGACUUUUGGAGCCUCUGCCUCAUUGACUUGCUGUAUCUUUUAAAAUUUCAUUGGACAGCAGCUUUUCUCACUUGUCUGAGCCUCUUAAUUCUCUAUUUUGUCUUUUCCAUUGUAAUCUUUUUAAUUUAGUGAUUGUUAUUCUAGUCUGUAAAGCUAGUAUAAUAGUAUAUAAUAUAAUAAUAAUACCUGUAUAGUAAUGUUACUUUAUAUUUUACUUUACAGAAAAAUAGUAUAUUUGAAGUUGUCUGUAUACGUAUUUACCAGUCUGCCAUCUUUGAGUGAACCUUAUCUCCUACUAAUAAUUUGGUGAAAGAGAUUUUUUUUUUAAUUUUGGAAGUUGCUUAGGACAGAAAACAUGUUAUGACUAGACCACAGUCAUUUGUACUUAUCCUAAGUCAUAACCCAGUAACAGUAAAUGGUUCAUUUU
rnacentral:lncRNA from 7 species